UUCAGAACACAAACCAAAAACAUUUAUUCAAUACAAAACAAGUUGGAGUUGUAGAAACAUCUCCAAAAAAAAACAAAAUAAACAACUUCAGGUGACUAAAGAUGACUAAGAAAUUGAGGUCAAUGUUUACUUGGCGCAAGUCAAAACCCGAGCCAGCACCGGAAAUGACGCUGUGGAACUACGCCGAAAUGGUCGUAACUAUGGCACAGGAGCACCGCACCACUCUAGAGCUGGGAGCAACUCUUCUGUUUUCGAUGAUGUUGCUCCUUAUUUUAAUUAAGGUGUUUAUGCCCAGGCGAGCUCAACGUGCUCCUGCUCUUCCUGCUGUGCCGGAAGUCAACCAUCGACUGUUGACUGAUAAGCCACCAGAGCCUCCUUCACAGAUCGUAGCUCCCUACCAUCGAUACAACUUGAGAAGCACCGUAAAACGUCGAGCCCGUUUAAUUGAACAAUAGGAAAACCCAAAAUUUGAAUUGUAAUAAUAUUUUUUAUAUGGGUACCAAGACGCGAGCGACACAGACAUGAAUCCCAACGAGACCAUUGACAUGAUCCCGUUCCUACGCUUGCCUGGAAUCGGUAGUAUCAUUUUCCGUUAACUUUUGAAAGCGAUUUCUAAAUUGUCCGAAAAGCGUCCCAUUAUAUUUUGGUAUAUACACACAUAUGUACCUAUUGAAAUUAACUGUAGCUUGGAUUAUCACAGCAUUGGAUGAGGCUCAUUCCUUGAGGUCCUUCAGUUGCAGUAGCUACACCCCAAACCCCACUAAAAUCUGGAAAUAUUCAACAUGGUCAGCUGUGUCCUUUGUAUCGAAUCAAAUUUUAUUAAAUUUAAAUUAGUUUUUACAUUUAA